AUUGAACGCUGGCGGCAGGCUUAACACAUGCAAGUCGAGCGGGGUGAUGGUGCUUGCACUAUCACUUAGCGGCGGACGGGUGAGUAAUGCUUAGGAAUCUGCCUAUUAGUGGGGGACAACAUCUCGAAAGGGAUGCUAAUACCGCAUACGUCCUACGGGAGAAAGCAGGGGAUCACUUGUGACCUUGCGCUAAUAGAUGAGCCUAAGUCGGAUUAGCUAGUUGGUGGGGUAAAGGCCUACCAAGGCGACGAUCUGUAGCGGGUCUGAGAGGAUGAUCCGCCACACUGGGACUGAGACACGGCCCAGACUCCUACGGGAGGCAGCAGUGGGGAAUAUUGGACAAUGGGGGGAACCCUGAUCCAGCCAUGCCGCGUGUGUGAAGAAGGCCUUAUGGUUGUAAAGCACUUUAAGCGAGGAGGAGGCUCUUUUGGUUAAUACCCAGGAUGAGUGGACGUUACUCGCAGAAUAAGCACCGGCUAACUCUGUGCCAGCCGCCGCGGUAAAAC
rnacentral:rRNA from 1 species